rnacentral:lncRNA from 1 species
AGACAUGACGUCACCGGUUUUGAGGGUAUGGAUGAGGGUAGGUGGGUAUGUCUCACCCUACCCCCCUCCCCUCCCCUCCCCAAACCACUUCGCAAGCAUCGGAACACUGAGAUCGUCGUCAAAUGCUGAGAGAGACUUCUUCAGAAUCGCCGGAUGACAAAACUCGGCGUAUGAGAGAGAAAGAGAGAGAAAUGGAGAGAAAGCGAGAGAGAGAAAAAGUAAGUAUUGGCACUCGAUCAAAAGUUUUA